rnacentral:tRNA from 1 species
GGGUAGUGUAGUGGUUAGCACGCUCGGCUAACAACCGAGAGGGUCCGGGUUCAAAUCCCGGAAAGCGGCGAAGCAACA